GCAUCGAUGAAGAACGCAGCGAAAUGCGAUAGCUAGUGUGAAUUGCAGAUUUCAGUGAAUCAUCGAAUCUUUGAACGCACAUUGCGCCCCUUGGUAUUCCGAGGGGCAUGCCUGUUCGAGCGUCAUUACACCACUCAAGCACUGCUUGGUAUUGGGCCCUGUCCCCCUCCGCGGGGGGCGAGCCUCAAAGACCUCGGCGAGGCCUCACCGGCUUUAGGCGUAGUAGAAUUCUUUCGAACGUCUUUAAAAGGGGAGGACUUCUGCCGACAGAAGCCUUUAAUUUUUCCAAGGUUGACCUCGGAUCAGGUAGGGAUACCCGCUGAACUUAAGCAUAUCAAUAAGCGGAGGA
rnacentral:rRNA from 1 species